rnacentral:rRNA from 1 species
CCUACGGGAGGCAGCAGUGGGGAAUAUUGCACAAUGGGCGAAAGCCUGAUGCAGCGACGCCGCGUGAGGGAUGACGGCCUUCGGGUUGUAAACCUCUUUCAGCAGGGAAGAAGCGAAAGUGACGGUACCUGCAGAAGAAGCGCCGGCUAACUACGUGCCAGCAGCCGCGGUAAUACGUAGGGCGCAAGCGUUGUCCGGAAUUAUUGGGCGUAAAGAGCUCGUAGGCGGCUUGUCACGUCGGGUGUGAAAGCCCGGGGCUUAACCCCGGGUCUGCAUUCGAUACGGGCUAGCUAGAGUGUGGUAGGGGAGAUCGGAAUUCCUGGUGUAGCGGUGAAAUGCGCAGAUAUCAGGAGGAACACCGGUGGCGAAGGCGGAUCUCUGGGCCAUUACUGACGCUGAGGAGCGAAAGCGUGGGGAGCGAACAGGAUUAGAUACCCUGGUAGUCCACGCCGUAAACGGUGGGAACUAGGUGUUGGCGACAUUCCACGUCGUCGGUGCCGCGAGUACGACGCUAGUUACCGUCCCGUCGGUGGUACGGUCCGGCCGAGACGUAACCUUAAAACUUAAGUAGUAGUCGGACGCGNGAGACGUCGACGACGACGACGACGGAGGAGGAG